rnacentral:rRNA from 1 species
AGUGAUCUGGAUGACAAAUUCAGGCAUCUGAACCUGAGACCAGAGGAGGAAGAAGAUGUAAUCCUUGAGGAUCUGGAAGAAUUGGAGAAGGAUGCGGAGUUCAUGGCCCUGGCUAGGGUUCAUACAACACGUAAAUUCAGUCACAGCGCGUUCUACGGAACCAUGAGAUCUGCGUGGAAUUUGGCGCAAGAAGUGGAGUUUAGAGCAAUUGAGGACAACUUAUUUACAGUCCAGAUG